rnacentral:tRNA from 1 species
UCCCCUGUAGCUCAGUGGCAGAGCGUCCGGCUGUUAACCGGUGUGUCCCUGGUUCGAAUCCAGGUGGGGGAGC